ensembl:lncRNA LOC100912991 uncharacterized LOC100912991
AGCCUGGAAACCAUGGCAGCAGCAGGAAGUUCCGGCUGUUUUAAAGUUGCGGUUCCGGUGUUCAAAAUGCCAAGGAUGAUGGGAAACUUGAGCUUGUUUAUCGGUUUGUACGGAACGCCACCCACCGUUCGGAAGCCAGAAUAUGCUUGAUAGAAGCAGUAUGGUGAAGGGGAAGAAUGCCUCGGGAGCCCAUGCUGAGGAUCCCUUUACCGAGGUACCAGUAUAGUAUAGAAUAGUUUAUUUAGGGAAAUGGAAAGGGGAGUUGGAAAUGAAGUAGACCAGAGAAGGACAUGGAGAGAGGGGAGAGGGGAGAGAGGCGAAAAUGGGAGAGGGGGAAAGGGAGAGAGGGGAGAAGAAGAAAGGAGAGAGUGGGGGGGAUAUGGGGAGAGGUAGAGAGAGGGGAGAGGAAGGGGAGAGGCCGGCCAGGAACAUAUGGAGAAAGAGGGGGUAGGGGGAAAGGGAGAGAGAAAAUACAGAGAGGCAGAAAGAGCAAGAGAGUAAGAGGAUAAGAGAAUAAGAGCGUCUAUCCUUUCAUACAGGAAAACAUCUGACCCCGUGAGGUGCUAGAUCCUGGAUACCUGAGACACAUCAACUUCUCAGACUGGAACACAGAGGACUACUAGAUUAAGUGGAAACAAUGCCCAGGCAUCCCAGUGCCCCCACUGAUGGUCCAGCUAUCAUCAAGAUGGUGACGAGUUACAUAUGACCUGGAGGAGGACUGUGCAGAGUACCUUCUAGCACCAUAAACACUAAUCAGUGAGCAAUGCUGAACUUCUAAUUAGGCAAGAGCUCAACCUCUUCAUGCUUGAGGACAUAAAGUUCAGGAUCAAGCUCAGAAGCUCACAGCUGCCAGCAGCACACUACUACUGCACUGUCUCCUUAGUCCAUGCUCACUCUUAAAUAGCCACAAAACACUCAGUGGUAUGGCAAAGGAAACCUCCAUUUCAUUUAGAUGUUUAUGAUAAUUUUUCCCACUUUAAUUAUUUUAUGUAGUUGAAUAUGAUUUUUUUUCC